UAAGACAGAGGGUGCAAACGUUGUUCGGAAUUACUGGGCGUAAAGCGCGUGUAGGCGGCUACGCAAGUCGGAUGUGAAAGCCCUUGGCUCAACCGAGGAAGUGCAUUCGAAACUGCGCAGCUUGAGUCCCGGAGAGGAUGGUGGAAUUCUCGGUGUAGAGGUGAAAUUCGUAGAUAUCGAGAGGAACACCGGUGGCGAAGGCGGCCAUCUGGACGGUGACUGACGCUGAGACGCGAAAGCAUGGGGAGCAAACAGGAUUAGAUACCCUGGUAGUCCAUGCUGUAAACGAUGGGUGCUAGGUGUCGCGGGCAUUGACCCCUGCGGUGCCGUAGCAAACGCAUUAAGCACCCCGCCUGGGGAGUACGGCCGCAAGGCUAAAACUUAAAGGAAUUGACGG
rnacentral:rRNA from 1 species